GGGAAGAUUUAAGAGAACUUACUCCGUUAUUUCACACAAUAAACUCGUGAGAUAAGUGCCCAUCCAUAAGAAUACCUUAUUACCUACCUAAGGUCAAAUAAAAGAGUACCUGCAUUAUUUGCAAGUUCUUCUUCCUAAAAGAAACUAUUUCAAUGCUAUGAAAGAUUGAGAAAAAGCUAAUGUGCUCUCCUCUGAAAUCCCUUAGCAAACCUCUGACGGAUGUGCGGCAGGGGCAGGCUGCACCUGUCCGUCUCUGUCUACUGUCUUUUUGUUCCUUUGGGGCUGUUUGCAGACAGAGGGCCGGCAGGCGGCUGCCCGGGUCACUCAGAGAGCCCGAACUCCAGACCCCUUCCUGUCCGUGCAGUUGUGCUGUUGAAACCAAGAGCUUAUAGAUUUUAAAGAUCUUUUCUUCAGCUGUCUGAAGAACUCUACAGGAAAGACAGGGAGGAAAGAGAGAAAAAAGAAAAGAAGAACUUUUGGUUUAUGCUUCAAAGAAAUACGAACAUUACUUCAAAUCAAAGUGAAUCAUCUGCCUGGGAGCAUGCUUCACAUUACAUUUCCAGUCUACAACUAAGACAAAAGUAACUAAUGUAGGAAAUAGUUCUGUAUUAUAAACAGUGCAAUUCUGACUGCUUUAAUAAUGAAAUUCAAAUUGACAUAAUUUUCUUUCCUAUCAGCUUCUUAUAACUAUAACUGGACAGCUGGCUGACUCUUCACAGACUGAUGAAGAAUAAAUUUCAUUUGAAAUACA